AUUGAACGCUGGCGGCAUGCUUUACACAUGCAAGUCGAACGGUAACAGGGAGCUUGCUCCGCUGACGAGUGGCGAACGGGUGAGUAAUAUAUCGGAACGUACCCAAGAGUGGGGGAUAACGUAGCGAAAGUUACGCUAAUACCGCAUACGAUCUAAGGAGGAAAGCAGGGGACCUUCGGGCCUUGUGCUCCUGGAGCGGCCGAUAUCUGAUUAGCUAGUUGGUGAGGUAAAGGCUCACCAAGGCGACGAUCAGUAUCUGGUCUGAGAGGACGACCAGCCACACUGGAACUGAGACACGGUCCAGACUCCUACGGGAGGCAGCAGUGGGGAAUUUUGGACAAUGGGCGCAAGCCUGAUCCAGCAAUGCCGCGUGAGUGAAGAAGGCCUUCGGGUUGUAAAGCUCUUUUGUCAGGGAAGAAACGGGAUUGGCUAAUAUCCAGUCCUAAUGACGGUACCUGAAGAAUAAGCACCGGCUAACUACGUG
rnacentral:rRNA from 1 species